ACAAGUUCUGGCAGGUGGACGUGGGAAAGGAACAUGGGACAGUGGACUCAAAGGGGGAGUGAAAUUAGUGUACUCAGCUAAAGAGGCCAAGGAGAUUGGCAGUAAAAUGAUUGGUCACAAGCUC
rnacentral:sRNA from 1 species